GCGUCGUUAGCUCAAUGGUAGAGCAGCGGACUCUUAAUCCGUUGGUUGUGGGUUCAAGUCCCUCACGACGCACCA
rnacentral:tRNA from 1 species